UGGUUAGAGCAAUGUUUGAGUUUAUUGAAUUAUGUACGGAAACUGUGAUUAUGAUAAAAUUGAAAACGCAGUAAAAAUUAUUAUAAAAAACACACAAAUGGGAGGUGUUUGUUUGUGUGUGUGUGUGUGUGUGUGUGUGUGUGUGUUUGAGAGGGAAAGAGAGCGAGAGAGAUCUUGUGAUCAAUUAUAUGGGGUGAUGCUUGCCUGCCCACCCCCCACCCCCAA